rnacentral:rRNA from 1 species
AAUGAACGUUGGCGGCGUGGAUUAGGCAUGCAAGUCGUGCGCGAAUCGUAGCAAUACGAGGAGAGCGGCGAAAGGGAGAGGAUAGCAUAGAUACCUACCCUCGGAUCGGGGAUAGCUAUGGGAAACUAUAGGUAAUACCCGAUAACGUCUCCGGACCAAAGGUGUGAUUCCGUCCGGGGAGGGGUCUAUGUCCUAUUAGCUUGUUGGUGAGGUAACGGCUCACCAAGGCCAAGAUGGGUACGAGGCGUGAGAGCGUGUCCUCGCUCACUGGAGAUGAGACACUGGCCAGACACCUACGGGUGGCUGCAGUCGAGAAUCUUCGGGAAUGGGCGCAAGCCUGACCGAGCGACGCCGCGUGCGGGAUGAAGGCCUUCGGGUUGUAAACCGCUGUCAGUGCGGAGGAAAUGUAGUGGGGUUCUCCCCAUUAUUUGACCUAUGCGCAGAGGAAGGACGGGCUAAGUUCGUGCCAGCAGCCGCCGUAAGAC